rnacentral:rRNA from 1 species
CUACGGAAGGCGGCAGUAGGGAAUAUUGCUUAAUGGGCGCAAGCCUGAAGCAGCAACGCCGCGUGUGCGAUGAAGGCCUUCGGGUUGUAAAGCACUUUUUACCGGGAAGAGGAAGGACGGUACCGGUAGAAUCAGCCUCGGCUAACUACGUGCCAGCAGCCGCGGUAAAACGUAGGAGGCGAGCGUUAUCCGGAUUUACUGGGUGUAAGGCGCGUGCAGGCGGUUUGCUAAGUUGGGUGUGAAAGCUCCUGGCUCAACUGGGAGAGGUCGCUCAAGACUGGCAGACUGGAGAGCAGUAAGGGAAGGUGGAAUUCCGGGUGUAGUGGUGAAAUGCGUAGAUAUCCGGAGGAACACCAGUGGCGAAGGCGGCCUUCUGGACUGCAUCUGACGCUCAGACGCGAAAGCUAGGGGAGCAAACGGGAUUAGAUACCCCAGUAGUCCG